CUCAAUACAACACAUCUAGAUUGAUGGUGUCAAACAUCUCACUUCACGGUUCAGGAGAAAAGAAAACCUGCUCUGAGGGAAAUCCAGAGUGAAUCUUUAUAUUUGAGUGAAUCUUUAUAUUUGAGUUUGACAUGCUGUCCUGGGAGAGAACCCUGAGCUCGGAGAUGGAUGAGCCUGGUCAGGGAGCAUUAGGAGGGAUACGAGAUCAGAUUGUAGGAAAAUGGAGUACCCUGGGAAAAGCCACGCGAACACCGGGAGACCAUGUAAACUCUGCACAGAGACUGCCGACUGGCUCAGCUAGGACUUGAACCAUUGGCCCUCUUGCUGUGAGGCAGUAGUGCUAGCCACUGAGCCGCCGUGUCACCCGAUACCAGAAUUGAGGAGGAGGGAGAAGGGAAGGAUAGGGGGGUUUCCAAAACGAACAUAAGGAUUAAUUAAUUUUGGGAUGAUCCGAUUGGCUAGCUAGUGAUUAGCGAUAAGGACCAGCUGUAGUCAAUCAUAUCACGUGCUCCUAUCGAAAUUAGUUUGUGAAUCUUCAUUUAGUAAUGUCAAAUUUGUGCAUGCAUGUUGUAAUCUUA